UCAGAUGAACGCUGGCGGCAGGCUUAACACAUGCAAGUCGAGCGGAUGAAGGUAGCUUGCUACGGAUUCAGCGGCGGACGGGUGAGUAAUGCUUAGGAAUCUGCCUAUUAGUGGGGGACAACGUUCCGAAAGGAGCGCUAAUACCGCAUACGUCUACGGGAGAAAGCAGGGGACCUUUGGGCCUUGCGCUAAUAGAUGAGCCUAAGUCGGAUUAGCUAGUUGGUAGGGUAAAGGCCUACCAAGGCGACGAUCUGUAGCGGGUCUGAGAGGAUGAUCCGCCACACUGGGACUGAGACACGGCCCAGACUCCUACGGGAGGCAGCAGUGGGGAAUAUUGGACAAUGGGGGGAACCCUGAUCCAGCCAUGCCGCGUGUGUGAAGAAGGCCUUUUGGUUGUAAAGCACUUUAAGCGAGGAGGAGGCUACCUAGAUUAAUACUUUAGGAUAGUGGACGUUACUCGCAGAAUAAGCACCGGCUAACUCUGUGCCAGCAGCCGCGGUAAUACAGAGGGUGCGAGCGUUAAUCGGAUUUACUGGGCGUAAAGCGUGCGUAGGCGGCCAAUUAAGUCAAAUGUGAAAUCCCCGAGCUUAACUUGGGAAUUGCAUUCGAUACUGGUUGGCUAGAGUAUGGGAGAGGAUGGUAGAAUUCCAGGUGUAGCGGUGAAAUGCGUAGAGAUCUGGAGGAAUACCGAUGGCGAAGGCAGCCAUCUGGCCUAAUACUGACGCUGAGGUACGAAAGCAUGGGGAGCAAACAGGAUUAGAUACCCUGGUAGUCCAUGCCGUAAACGAUGUCUACUAGCCGUUGGGGCCCUUGAGGCUUUAGUGGCGCAGCUAACGCGAUAAGUAGACCGCCUGGGGAGUACGGUCGCAAGACUAAAACUCAAAUGAAUUGACGGGGGCCCGCACAAGCGGUGGAGCAUGUGGUUUAAUUCGAUGCAACGCGAAGAACCUUACCUGGCCUUGACAUACAGAGAACUUUCCAGAGAUGGAUUGGUGCCUUCGGGAACUCUGAUACUGGUGCU
rnacentral:rRNA from 1 species